GAACAGCCUUUUCUCCGUUUCUGCUUAAAAACCAGAACAUGUCAUUCAUUUGUAUUCUCUGUUCCAGUUAUGCAGGCUCUGAUCUUCAGAAAUAUGCCCUAGGAGCGGGAAAAGCGCGUAAGACAUGCAGUAGGCCGUUCUGCGUCAUAAGAACAAGCUCUCAAAUUCAAUCUUGUGGGGAAGAUUUUCACAGAAGAGGUAAAUAUUUGGCUGUUCUUCCUAAGAUAGAAGCAUAAAAUUCUGGAAUGCCUUCUUGCCUUCUGGCACCUGGCUGCUGGAUGUUGAACCAUAAAGGAAGUUCCCUGAUUCAAGCCCUGGGAAGAUGUUUUCCAUGUACAUUGUAAAACCAUGCUCAUAAGUCAUUCUUCUAGGCCUGCUGAGUGCAUGCAAUAGCUGGAAGAUUGUUGGAAUACACUUGAGCACUGAAAUCUAUACAUGACUUAUAACACAACAUUCUGCUACUACUGGUUUACUCCUUCCAUACCAAAGUGUUGGGAGAAAUGUGUGGCAGAUGUAUUUCAUGGAGGAUGCUGCUGUUCUCAGCAGGAUGCCCGUUCAGCCUGCACUUCCAUCUUGCUGCUAGGGAGCACUUUGAGGAAUUGACCAUUAUCAAGGGAGAGGAAAGCCUGGAUGUGAAGACGAAAGGCUUAAGCUUCAUAGUUUACGAACCCAGUGCACAUAGGAGUGCCAAUUUUGGAGCAGGCUUGUGCUGGGAUGGUAGGACCUUGUAGCUCUACGGGAAAGAGGAGUUCUGUGAUGCAGUAAAACCCCCAGAAAUUGAGCUGCAUUCCCAGUGUGCUGUAGGCCAUAAUACAAGUGUUGCUGGUGUUGUUAAUAUAUGCACAAUAUAAUGAAUAUU
rnacentral:lncRNA from 7 species